rnacentral:rRNA from 1 species
UACGUAGGGUGCAAGCGUUACUCGGAAUUACUGGGCGUAAAGCGUGCGCAGGCGGUUUUGUAAGACAGGUGUGAAAUCCCCGGGCUUAACCUGGGAACUGCAUUUGUGACUGCAUCGCUGGAGUGCGGCAGAGGGGGAUGGAAUUCCGCGUGUAGCAGUGAAAUGCGUAGAUAUGCGGAGGAACACCGAUGGCGAAGGCAAUCCCCUGGGCCUGCACUGACGCUCAUGCACGAAAGCGUGGGGAGCAAACAGG